CUCACUUGGAGAGAUCUGGACAAAGGGAUCCACAGAGAAGAGAAGUCUACUUGGACUUGUGGCUUACUAUGAUGGUCAGCCAGACAGUGCAUCUCUGGGAAGACUACUAUCGGGAUGUGCCCUUGUCAGUGGACAUCGGGUCACGUGAUGUCCAACGUCUCACUAACAGCGAUGUCAGUCUUGAGCACUUGGCUAAGCCGGAUCUGCUAGGCUUUGCUGCUGGCGCUCCCAUCCCCAUCCACGUGCUAUGAAGAGAAAGAGAGAAUAUUCAAGCAGACUCCUGCUGAGCGUGGAGCUGGACAUGGGGCCUCAUGACCCCAUGAGAUCAGGACCUGAGCAGAAACCAAAAGUCGGACACUUACGUGACUGAGCCACCCAGGCGCCCUUUUGUUUCUUAAAUUGCUUUUGUAACAAAUCACAUAUGGAAUAACAACCACAAAUGUGUAUUCACUGGACUCUCUGAAGGGCUACAUGACUGCUUCUAGAACUUUCACAUUACUAGAAGUUCACCAGUGCUCUCCCCACCUCACAACUGAGGAAACUGAAUCAAUCCCAGAAAGGUGCUGUGAUUGGCUGUACUAAGCAGGGCCAGGGCACAAACCUGGAAGUAGUGCUUGGGGUUCCACUCUUCUGACCACUACAAUGCCCCAGAGAGGGUGCAUAAAAUACAGAGUCCAGGGCCCUAAUGCCUCAUAUCACAAAGUCCAGGUGGGGCCAUGGAAAUCUGCAUUCGAACACUAAACUGCCCUUAGCCAGCUGGGUAGACUGUGACCCCCUGGGCCUCAAUUUUCCCAUCCGUGAAAUAGGCAACUCCUUCCCCACAGGGCUGCUAUAAGGGACCAAGUGAGGGAAAUGCUUGGAAUGUGUUCAAAAGACAGCACAGAGUUACCUGGCAGGAAGUUCCACUGAGGAAGCAGCAGACCCAGGAGCCACUCACAAGUCACUGACCUUGCUGGGUCCGGCUCACUCACUGGACAUUCCUACAUAUCACAGCUUCUGUGCAAUAUCUUUCCAGGCAACAAGUGCACAUGGCAGACCAAUUAAGCCCAGUGAGAGGGUAGAUGCCAAGUCCAUGUCCCCACACUUGGGAGCCCCAGACUGUGAGACCAGUUGGGGCACUGAUGGCCAUCCCAUGGGCCCUCGGCAAAGACAUAAGCACAUUUUCACACACACAUGCUACACUUGCAUACACACAGGCACUUCUCUGACCAACAGGGGUGGCCCUCCCCAGAGCUCCUCUCCCUUGGCCAAAUCCACGUACCCUCUCUUCUCUGGGCUGUUACUGCUAAGAUGCUCUAGAUUCCAAGGUUGCAGUUGUAAUGUUGCCACCCACAGGGCCAGAGAUGGAUGUGGUAGCCUGUAUCAAUGUUCAAAUACCUAUGCAAACUAAAAAAUAAUCCCAGCCACAUGUACUGGGCACUUCCAACAGCAGGGUGUCAUGGUGGGGAACCUACCAUCAUUAUGUCAUUGAAGUGCUCCUGUUCCCCAGGAAGAAGGUACCGCCACUAUCUCCCUUGAUGAUGUGGGUAAGGUGCUAGGAAAUCAGAGAGCCUGCAAGUAGCAGAGCUGUCAUUCAAAUGCAGCUGGGAUUCAAACUCUGAUCAUUUAUUAUUCGACAUAUUUUUUUAGUGUGUGUGCCCAGUACUGUCCUAGGCCUAAGGGACCCAGCAGUUACCAAGGCAGAACAAGGCACUGGCAGUCUGGUGGGAGACUCAGAGCCAAGUCUCCUUGGCUCCUUCCAAGGGAGAGCUCCCUGCCUGAAUCUGUGGUGUCCACUGAUGGCAUGCAGCCCACAGGAAGACCCUGUGAGGUGGUAGGAUGACUUUGGCCAGCAGAAACCAGGUCCUGCAAGCUAAUCUGCCGACACAGGGUACCUGGGCAGGAUGCACCAGUGUUUUGAAACAUUAAAAGCUACCUCUGGGCCUCGCUCUCUUCCUCUCUACUCCUUUCCCAUGGAGUGUUCUUAAUGGGAACUUUCAGCAUUGAGCUCAAAGUGGUGGCAGGAGAAAUGCAAAACUGGCCCCCUCCAGCAAUGAGGACAAUGCACCUGAUUCUUUGGCAAUUUUCUUUUAGCAGGAAUAGACUCAAUUAUAAUAGUCUCUCCUUGGGAUUUCCAGACACAGGUGGAUCUCUCUAAGAACCUUUCCAGACCAUCUCUUAAAGAAGAUCUUAGACAAAUCUCCUAUUUAGGGAUGGGAUCAUUAGCCACUGACAUGUAGAAUGCUUAGCAUGUUUCAGGGCACACAUAUGAACAACCUAUUAUUCUCAUUUUGCAAAUGAGGAAAGGGGGAAACAGAGAGGUUUGAGAACUUGCCCAAAGUCACAGUGGAACAUUUGAGCCCGGGUGGUCCUUCUCAGGAACCUGGACUCCUAACCUCCGUUAGGUCAAAUCAAUUUGGCUUCUUUGCAAGAGUGUCCUCCCAUUUCAGAGAGGUUGGCAGGAUGCCUGAAGCCCCUUACCUGACUCACCUCCCUGCCCAGGCCCUGGGCUCUGACCCCAGCCCCUGUACCUCCCCACACAUUUAUGUCCCAGGGCCCUGCCCAACCCAGCUUCUGUUUGCAGUCUGUUUCUUCAGACUGCCCUGCACCCAGAAGCUGGCCUAUUAAGAACUAGGAUGCAGGACUCAUCAAUGAAGGGGAGGCAGCUGGGGACCAGGCAACAGGAAGUGGAGAGCAUGUGGCCACUCCUUAGUGAUAGGUACGUCUGCCACCUGGUCAGGGAGCUCCAUUUUUCUAGAGGCAAUGGUAAGUGAUUUUUAUGUGAAAUCUCCUAACUUGAAAGUGCUGGCAUUUAACUCAAUUUAAAAGAAUGUGAGGAUGAAAUAAUAUUUGUGAUGGGACAGGAUUCAACCCCCCCCCCCAGUGCUGCCAGAUAAGCCUAUCAGGAAGUUUCAUAAAUAAGGGAAGGAAAGUACAAGGGGCCAUGAUGCUGAAAGGGGACCUAUGCACCAGGAGCUGUGGGAGGUUUCCCCCUUGACUUUACCCAGCAGCCCUGGGGAUGGGGUGGGGGUGGGGGGAUGGUCAGGAUUCAUGUCCCCAUCUGUAGACCAGAAAGCAGACUCAGAGAGAUGAAGUAAGCUGCCCAAGGACACACUCGGUGCAGGUGCACGCACCAGGAUCAAAAGCCCAGAGGUCCCAGGUGCAGCAUGCAACAGCAGCUCUAGAACAAGCUGCGUCCUGGGUGGCUGGCUCUUCGUGCUUCAGUGAGUGCGGGGCAGGUGGUGGUCCAAGUGGGGUGACGUGCCUGUGUGGCCCCGCUGCAAGAGCCCUGACCCAGGGCGGGGCGGAGGUGGGUGGGAGAACCUUCUCAAAGCUCCUUUGACUCAGGCUUAACUCAGCUCUGAUGAACCACCUGGCUUUGAGUGUGACCCAGUUUUACAACUUGGGCAACCAGAGCUGAGUUGGGGAAAGUCAGGCAGGUUGAGAGUGAAACCAGCCCCCUGUCACCCGGCUUGCAGGGUGAACUUGGACGGAGCCCCUCAGAUUUCAGAACCUUAGGUGCCCCCAACUCCAAAAACGGGGGCUGGCUCCAUCCUCUCGAGGCAUA